rnacentral:rRNA from 1 species
CGCUGGCGGCGUGCUUAACACAUGCAAGUCGAACGGAACCUCGGGUUAGUGGCAAACGGGUGAGUAACGCGUAGGUAAUCUGCCGUAUGGAUGGGGACAACAGUUCGAAAGGACUGCUAAUACCGAAUGAAGUAUUGAUACCGCAUGGUGUUGAUAUUAAAGAUUUAUCGCCAUACGAGGAACCUGCGUCCGAUUAGGUAGUUGGUAAGGUAACGGCUUACCAAGCCGACGAUCGGUAACCGGUCUGAGAGGAUGAACGGUCACAUUGGAACUGAGACACGGUCCAGACUCCUACGGGAGGCAGCAGUGGGGAAUAUUCCACAAUGGAGGGAACUCUGAUGGAGCGACGCCGCGUGAGUGAAGAAGGGCUUCGGCUCGUAAAGCUCUUUUCUGAUUGACGAAUGAACUAUUGGAUGGUUAGAGACGGUAAAUUGGGAAUAAGCCACGGCUAACUACGUGCCAGCAGCCGC